rnacentral:tRNA from 1 species
UUAAAAAUAAGCUAAUAUAAGCUUUUGGGUUCAUACCCCAAAUAUAAAGGAAGUCCUUUUUUUUAAAUUAUCAAUA